rnacentral:rRNA from 1 species
UGGGGAAUAUUGCACAAUGGGGGAAACCCUGAUGCAGCGACGCCGCGUGAACGAAGAAGGUAUUCGUAUCGUAAAGUUCUGUCCUAUGGGAAGAUAAUGACAGUACCAUAGAAGAAAGCUCCGGCUAAAUACGUGCCAGCAGCCGCGGUAAUACGUAUGGAGCGAGCGUUGUCCGGAAUUAUUGGGCGUAAAGGGUACGCAUGCGGUUUAAUAAGUCGAAUGUUAAAGAUCGGGGCUCAACCCCGCAAAGCAUUGGAAACUGAUAAACUUGAGUAGUGGGGAGGAAAGUGGAAUUGCUAGUGUAGUGGUGAAAUACGUAGAUAUUAGGAGGAAUACCAGUAGCGAAGGCGACUUUCUGGACACAAACUGACGCUGAGGUACGAAAGCGUGGGGAGCAAACAGG